rnacentral:rRNA from 1 species
UACGAGAGGCCCAAACGUUAUUCGGAAUUACUGGGCUUAAAGAGUUCGUAGGCGGAUUGUUAAGUCAGGGGUGAAAUCCUGGAGCUCAACUCCAGAACUGCCUUUGAUACUGGCGAUCUCGAGUCCGGGAGAGGUGAGUGGAACUGCGAGUGUAGAGGUGAAAUUCGUAGAUAUUCGCAAGAACACCAGUGGCGAAGGCGGCUCACUGGCCCGGUACUGACGCUGAGGUGCGAAAGCGUGGGGAGCAAACAGG